rnacentral:rRNA from 1 species
AGAGUUUGAUCAUGGCUCAGGAUGAACGCUAGCGGCAGGCUUAACACAUGCAAGUCGAGGGGCGAGCAUAAUGGAUAGCAAUAUCUAUGGUGGCGACCGGCGCACGGGUGCGUAACGCGUAUGCAACCUACCUUUAACAGGGGGAUAACACUGAGAAAUUGGUACUAAUACCCCAUAAUAUCAUAGAAGGCAUCUUUUAUGGUUGAAAAUUCCGAUGGUUAGAGAUGGGCAUGCGUUGUAUUAGCUAGUUGGUGGGGUAACGGGCUCACCAAGGCGACGAUACAUAGGGGGACGUGAGAGGUUAACCCCCCACCACUGGUACUGAGACACGGACCAGACUCCUACGGGAGGCAGCA